rnacentral:rRNA from 1 species
AGCAGCCGCCGCGGUAAAACGGAGGGUGCAAGCGUUAAUCGGAAUUACUGGGCGUAAAGCGCACGCAGGCGGUCUGACAAGUCAGAUGUGAAAUCCCCGGGCUUAACCUGGGAACUGCAUUUGAAACUGUCAGGCUGGAGUCUUGUAGAGGGGGGUGGAAUUCCAGGUGUAGCGGUGAAAUGCGUAGAGAUCUGGAGGAAUACCGGUGGCGAAGGCGGCCCCCUGGACAAAGACUGACGCUCAGGUGCGAAAGCGUGGGGAGCAAACAGGAUUAGAUACCCCAGUAGUCCCUGUCUCUUAUAC